rnacentral:rRNA from 1 species
GAUGAACGCUGGCGGCGUGCCUAACACAUGCAAGUCGAACGGAGAUUACGGACGGAAGUUUUCGGAUGGAAGCCUGUAAUUCUUAGUGGCGGACGGGUGAGUAACGCGUGGGCAACCUGCCCUAUACAGGGGGAUAGCAGCUGGAAACGGCUGGUAAGACCGCAUAAGUCGGUUAAAUCGCAUGAUUUGAUCGGGAAAUGAGCAAUCAGGUAUAGGAUGGGCCCGCGUCCGAUUAGCCAGUUGGCAGGGUAAAAGCCUACCAAAGCGACGAUCGGUAGCCGGACUGAGAGGUCGGACGGCCACAUUGGGACUGAGACACGGCCCAAACUCCUACGGGAGGCAGCAGUGGGGGAUAUUGCACAAUGGAGGAAACUCUGAUGCAGCGACGCCGCGUGAGUGAAGAAGCAUUUCGGUAUGUAAAGCUCUAUCAGCAGGGAAGAUGAUGACGGUACCUGACUAAGAAGCCCCGGCUAACUACGUG